UACGUAGGGGCCGAGCGUUGUCCGGAGUUAUUGGGCGUAAAGCGCGCGCAGGCGGCUUCGCGCGCCCGCCGUGAAAGCCCCCGGCUUAACCGGGGAGAGUCGGUGGGGACGGCGGAGCUUGAGGGCGGGAGAGGUCGGUGGAAUUCCCGGUGUAGCGGUGGAAUGCGUAGAGAUCGGGAAGAACAUCAGUGGCGAAGGCGGCCUGCUGGGCUGUUGCUGACGCUGAGGCGCGACAGCGUGGGGAGCAAACAGG
rnacentral:rRNA from 1 species